ACAGCGUGAUAACUACAUUAUGGAAAACUGAGCAGCCCAUGGGUGGGAGAAGACUGCACCACUUCUCCUUCCUCACCCCUCCCAAUACCUUCUGUUUGGCUCGACCUUGCGAUGAAGGCUCAAGUUGGUUCUUCAUACAUCUAACCUCAUAUAUUCACCUCCAUUUAUCAGCCUGUGUCCGAGGACAGCAAACAACUUUCACAGACCUCUGCUCUAGAUCCAGUUAUCAGUGUAUCAGCAAGGAGGUGUACAGUGCAAACUGCUCAGCCCUGCCUGAUGGCCAGUCCCAGAACCCUUCAGAGAAAGAAGCUGCUGCUGGGGUGACCAUCAUGUGUGAUUAGGACAGAGGCACAUAUGGAAAGGAAGAAUCUUGGAGCCUCUCACUUGAAGAACAGCUUGCACAUCACUUGGGAGUUGUCCAGCUUGUGGCCAGGACCCUGGAGCUCAUGAGUUCUUGGUGGAAAGCACAGAUGAGAGACUGUGCCCUGCUGUGUUGCCUCAGCUAUAAUUUCCAAGUGGCCUGAAGGUACAGUUCCACGUAGCUGUAAUUUGAUCUCAGGGUGACAAACUAAGAUCAAUAAACACACGAAGGUCCCUAGCAGGAGACAAGGAUGAAACCUGCCUGCCAAACACAGAGUACAAAGAGCUUGGCAAGUCUCUUAAGUUCAUUAUAUUUAGUAACUCACUUAAUAUGUUGGAUUUGUUGUGCAUGGUGCAAACAAGGAUUUUGAACUACUGAGAGUACCUUUCAUAACAAUCACCUAGUGCUUUCAAGGGCAUUGUGCUGAGGGAUCAAACUAAUAUAGCCCAGGGUUUCCUGCCACACACCAUAAAGACAUAAAUGGAA